AAGCCUUCUCUGUAAUAAAUAAUCUCCAUAUGUAUAGAUAUGGGGGCACUGGCAACCACACAGCUGUCUCAGGAAGUGCUUUCACACACAGGGUCAUCCAUCUCACACAGAGUUAAAAGCUGCUGUGAACCUGUAGAGAGCAGCAUUUGAUAUAAUCACAUACUUCUAUACCAUCAGCUCGUCCUUACAGUAAAGGGGGUGGAGCGACUAUAGUAAAGCUCGUGCAUUUUCCUGUUGUGGCAGCGAAACGUAAUCGUUUUCACAUAUAGUCAAAGCAAUUAUGUACUAACUGUGUCUAAGUGGAUAUUUUCCGAAUACAGGCUUUUAUUUUAACUUGUUCUUUCGGUUUGAAAUGGUAUCGCAACCCGCCGAGAGGCGAUUCGCGACGAAGACCGCUCGUUAAGACCGCUCCUUGUGGGACUUCGGUGGACCAUUUCGGUUUUUGGAAACAGUUUGUCUUUCUUCCUAAGGAAGUGGGUAUAAAGGCAUUUGAUCCAGAGCCAAGAAUACACGUGGGGAUAUGACACUAUGAGCCGUCCUAUAGCAGCUGACUGAUACUGACCCUGUGUAUGCUGAGCAAAGCGGCGAGGGUCGGGUCCGCCUCAGUCUCAUGUGAUUGGACGCUGGAUGGAAUCAAGGUGAAUGGAACACAAAGAGCAGGAGCUUAACCUGCCAGAGGGAGAUGAGACAUGGUGGCCGAAUGGAGUGAAGAGAAAAAGAAAGAAUAGUCAAUGCUCUAUGAAGAGCACGUCUGGUAAGCAUUUUGGAUCUGGUUUCACUGCAGUCUAAACCAAAACAUUUUGGGCCUGUGAUGCCCAAACAUGCCCUUUCUGUGCUUCGAGACAAGUAGAUUUUUGGUUAAUAACAGUAAUUUCUGUAUUUUUGAGGACAUAUUUUUUGGUUCCCAUGAGGAAAACAGUUUAGAAAUCAUACAAAAAGACGUUUCUUGAAAAUCAAAAAAUGCAGAAUGUUUGGUGUGUUGGUUAGGUUUAUGGUUAGGGUUAGGGUAAGGGGAUAGAAAGUAGAAAGUUUAGACA
rnacentral:lncRNA from 12 species